GACGAACGCUGGCGGCGUGCCUAAUACAUGCAAGUAGAACGCUGAAGAGAGGAGCUUACUCUUCUUGGAUGAGUUGCGAACGGGUGAGUAACGCGUAGGUAACCUGCCUUGUAGCGGGGGAUAACUAUUGGAAACGAUAGCUAAUACCGCAUAACAAUGGAUGACGCAUGUCAUUUAUUUGAAAGGGGCAAUUGCUCCACUACAAGAUGGACCUGCGUUGUAUUAGCUAGUAGGUGAGGUAAUGGCUCACCUAGGCGACGAUACAUAGCCGACCUGAGAGGGUGAUCGGCCACACUGGGACUGAGACACGGCCCAGACUCCUACGGGAGGCAGCAGUAGGGAAUCUUCGGCAAUGGGGGCAACCCUGACCGAGCAACGCCGCGUGAGUGAAGAAGGUUUUCGGAUCGUAAAGCUCUGUUGUAAGUCAAGAACGGGUGUGAGAGUGGAAAGUUCACACUGUGACGGUAGCUUACCAGAAAGGGACGGCUAACUACGUG
rnacentral:rRNA from 1 species